CGAAAAGGGCGUCGAUCCGUCGCGACAGCGGGACGGUGGUCAUGGAAGUCGAAAUCCGCUAAGAAGCGUGUAAAAACGUACCCGCCCAACGGAUCGGCCCCGAAAAUUGAUGGCGCUCGAACGCAACCCUCGAACCCCGCCGACGGAGGCUAGGGGAGGCCCCGUCGAGUAGGCGGACGCGCGGGUCGCUUCGACGCUCCCGCGCGAGCGGGGGCGGAGCGGCCCGUGGUGCAGAUCUUGGUGGUAGUAGCGAUCACCCAGGCGAGAACCCUGAGGGCCGAAGUGGAGAAGGGUUUCUCGAGAACGGCACUCGCUCGAGAGUUAGUCGAUCCUAAGCUGCCGGCGGCAGCCACGAAACGGUCGAUCGGGCGCGAGCCCGGCAGCCACGACCGGGCAGCGAAAGGGAAUUGGGAACCUCCUUCCCAAACCCGGAACCGGAACG
rnacentral:rRNA from 1 species